CUCUCACAUCAUCAAGAUUUUGAGCUUCACUUUGAGAUCCCUCAGUUUCAUCAAACUCCACAUCAUGGACUUCUUCCAAUGUGCCACUUGUCAGGUUCCAAACUCUAUAUGCCUUGCUUGUGGUGGAAUAACCAAGUAGGAACCCUUCAUCACAUUUCUUCUCAAAUUUACUCAAUCUAGUGCCUUUCUUGAGAAUGUAGCAUUUGCA
rnacentral:lncRNA from 1 species